UACGUAGGUGGCAAGCGUUGCCCGGAUUUACUGGGCGUAAAGGGCGUGCAGGCGGUUUGUCUAGUCUAGGGUGAAAGCUCCCGGCUUAACUGGGAGAGGUCCUUGGAUACUGGCAAACUUGAGGGAGGCAGAGGAAAGUGGAAUUCCCGGUGUAGUGGUGAUAUGCGUAGAUAUCGGGAGGAACACCAGUGGCGAAGGCGGCUUUCUGGGCCUUACCUGACGCUGAGACGCGAAAGCGUGGGGAGCGAACCGG
rnacentral:rRNA from 1 species